rnacentral:lncRNA from 12 species
GGGCUUUUGAAAAUAGCAGUGUUGAGUUUCAGUGUAGUGUGGUGAAAUGCAACUAAAUGGUCAGUUGGUGAGAUUUGAGGAAGUUAACACCCACAGGAUGAGCUAAUGAUGUUUAAAUGAAGAGCUGUAAAUAUAGAAUGAAAAAAAAGACUGACAGAAACAAAAAAUCACUGAUAAGUGUCACAUGUGUCUGCUGGGACUGAUCAUUCUCACAGGAAAAUUAUACUGGAACAACAGUCUGGGCUGUGAGAUGAGAACAGAGACACACUGAGCUUUAACCACUAACCAUCAACCACCUGCUGACUGACGAGAAAACAUCAUUAGCUUGCGAGGGACAAAGACAAACUGAAC